rnacentral:sRNA from 1 species
AAAAGUGUCAAACUAUCGUCCACUGGAUAAUGAAGGCACUUCCGGUAUCCAUCUUUGUUUUUCUUCCGUUCAUCAUUUCCUGUUUGUCUUGUCCGCUCCGCCACCAUGUGAAUGCGACUCGAAAUCUUCAACCGUGUACUGCAAAAAUCUAAAUCUAACAUCAAUUCCGAAAAUCAUGCCGACAAACGGUUCAUGGACUGUAUUUUUGAAUAACAAUAAAUUAAGGCAAAUACCUGGAAAUGCAUUUAUGGGGAUCAAGUUGCAUAUGUUGGUACUUGAUAAUAAUGAAAUAGAAACGAUUGACGAUCAAGCCUUCGAUGGGAGUGAAAAAUCGAUAAUCUUUCUAGACAUGGUGGGAAAUAAAUUGACGUCAUUGCCAACAGCCAUUGGCAAGCUUCAAAAUAUAAUGUCGCUCUCUGUAUUUGGAAACCCGUUGCCUGAUUUAGAUCAGGAGGUCAUGAAAAACGUUUCGAAAUCUUUGCUAUUUAUAGAUUUUGGAUCACGUGAACUCCAAGCAUGGCCAACCAGUUUGAAAUGUCUCACAAAAUUAGCUUCUAUUGACAUUUCAGGUGUAUCCUUUAAUAGUCUUCCAGAAGACGCUCUCUCUCCCUACAAGGACUCUUUGCAACAUCUUGGAAUCCACGACACGAAUUUGACAAGACUUCCGUCUUCGAUGAAUGAACUUCACAAUCUCCAGGAUCUGAAACUAGAUGGAAAUACCAAUCUUACCGCGGAAGCGAUACAUAAAUCGAUGCCUGAAGGUCUACCGGGUCUUAUAGAGGUCACUUUCCAAAACAAUGGACUUGCAAAGCUUCCAGAUAUUCUACUGAACGCCAGCCAUCUCUACAGCGUCACAGUUUUUGACGAACCUGUCGUUUCGUUCGAUGAAAACUUGUUCACAUCAAACUUCAGCGACAAUUUCCUAACCCUGAUCAUAAACAACACCAAAUUGUCCCAUGUUCCAAAGUGUGUCUCGAAAGUGAAUAGCAUUACACAACUUCAAAUAACCAGCAGUAAUAUUUCAUCCAUACACGAAGACGAUUUUUAUGGCAUGAAAAAUCUUAAUAUCCUUGACUUGUCCGAAAAUCCUCUUUGGAAUAUCUCGGACAGUGCUUUCAUGAAGAAUAACGCGUUAAGGUAUGUAAAAUUAGCUGGGACGAGAUUGGAAGUUAUACCUCGAGGUAUUCAAAAUCUGAAGUCUCCCCAAUAUCUGGACUUAUCAGGGUGUCCUAUCCAGUGUAGCUGUAAUAAUCUUGGAUGGAUCAAGAACUGGAAGAGUAGACCAGGCUAUUUUCAAAUAGCCGGAGAGUGCAACGAUCUCAAAAUGAACUUGAUGGCGUAUAUUAAUAAUGAAAUUCCAAAAUGCAUCGGGCAUGAUUAAUUAAUUGAGAAUAAAUAAAGGAAACAAUUUUAGA